UACGUAGGGUGCAAGCGUUGUCCGGAAUUAUUGGGCGUAAAGAGCGUGUAGGCGGCCAGGUAGGUCUGCUGUGAAAACUCGAGGCUUAACCUCGAGAUGUCAUCGGAAACCAUUUGGCUAGAGUCCGGAAGAGGAGAGUGGAAUUCCUGGUGUAGCGGUGAAAUGCGCAGAUAUCAGGAAGAACACCAAUGGCGAAAGCAGCUCUCUGGGACGGUACUGACGCUGAGACGCGAAAGCGUGGGGAGCGAACAGG
rnacentral:rRNA from 1 species